rnacentral:lncRNA from 1 species
AACUCAGUUGGCCAACCUGCCGAGAUAGUGACUUGUCCUCACUUUUGUAGGUUUAGGAGUCACGGGAGAGAUGGAGUCAUGUUUUCGAUCGGCCUUGAUGAGUAUGUACGAUUUUCUUUCCCUCUAAAUACAAAUGCUACCUUUGUUAUAGUAGUUGACGGCUUUUAUCUACGUUAUUUGUUAAUAUGGUAUGAGAAAUAUGCCUUUAUCCAACUAUUGAUUUUGUAUAGGUAUGAUUAGAUUGACUACGGAAUGUUAUUGGAUGAAUCAUGUGAAUGCGAUGGCUAGGCCUAAGUAAAUGUCCCCUCUUAUAUAAAGAUCUACGUCUCAAAGUAAGGUCUAAAAAUCAUGCAUUAAAUUCUCCAUAAUUUCGUCUCGUGGGCC